rnacentral:rRNA from 1 species
AGAACGAACGCUGGCGGCAUGCCUAAUACAUGCAAGUCGAACGAACUCUUCGGAGUUAGUGGCGCACGGGUGCGUAACGCGUGGGAAUCUGCCCCUUGGUUCGGAAUAACAGUUGGAAACGACUGCUAAUACCGGAUGACGACGAAAGUCCAAAGAUUUAUCGCCAAGGGAUGAGCCCGCGUAGGAUUAGCUAGUUGGUGAGGUAAAGCGUCACCAAGGACGAACGAUCCUUAGACUGGUCUGAGAGGAUGAUCAGACCACACGUAGGACUGAGACACGGCCCAGACCUCCGUACGGGAGCAGCGAGGUAGGGAAUAGUUGGAACAAGUGGGACGAAAGCCUAGACUCC